UCUACCUGGAAAAGGAAGCUACUUUUUUUAUUUUUUGAAGCGAUAAUUUCCAGUUUUUGGAUCGAAAGAAGUUGCUUUAAUGGAGAAAACGUUUUGCUCUGAACCACUGCUGUCUGUUGUUGAUGGCUGCCGCGACAAGCGUCCGGAGAAGAAUCGAAAAGCAUUUUGCUUCGUUUCAUUGAGAUUCGGGCGGACGCUUCUCCUUAUGAACUUAUUUCUGGAUUGUGACUUGGAAGAAUCCAAAAUCAUUUUGUUAUGUUUGGACUGAUGGAAUCUACGAGAUCAAAUCAGAACACGACCUCUAAUACGGCUCAAGCGUUCGACAAAAUUCCUCAGUUACUGUAACCAUAUCUUGGCCGUACUUAGAGAAGCGACGGAAUAAACAAUUGGGCUUUCGUUAUGGGUAGGGGCCGCGCGAACGCAUGCCCCCCCUCGUACAAAUUAUGGCGUAGGCUCGACCGCUUGGGCCGACCUUAGGCAUAUAGCCCUCCUACGUGCAAUGGAGCCCAUCAGCCCAGGCAACAGGCCUUCCUGAUCGCCUGUAUACCCCGCCCAGGUAAGUAUGUUGUUUUGUUCCUUUCGUCUGGUUAUUAAUGCAUUUUCAUUUUCAAUAUGCUAUUGUGGUUUUCGAUGUGGGAUUAAUUAUCUGUUAUAUCUAUACAUAGAACCGUUUAUGAACUGCACUAUACAGAUUGUAAACCAUGCUUUUUAUAAUGUGAAAUAGAAUGCUCAAAAAUAUAAACUUUCUAGUUAAUCUUUGAUCCAUCUUUGUCUAGAGAUGCUCUUUGAGUGAUUCUUCUCACCAUUGAGUCAUGAAUGUGAGUUUAAUCGUCUUGCUUAAGUGAUUUUUCCAUCGUUGGGUCAUGAAUGUGGGCUUAUCUUUUUUUUUUUUUUUUCUUUUUUUUAAAUGAAUUUAUUAGACAAAUUCAUGGAUUCAUUUGUGGAAUUUUCUAAACUUAAACUUUAUUAAUGAAAUAGACACGGUAAAAUGUGUUUCAUGUUUUGAAGUACAUUGAUUUUGUAAUAUAUGUUUGUAUAAUCAAGUUCAGGUACCUCUUUGUUUAUACAUUGUACUUGAAAUUUAUACGCAUCUUAUUUUAAUGUGUUCAUUGAAUCAUUUUUUUGAAUGACGCUUUAUCACGAAUACUCUCUUACUCGAUUCCACGAUUUUUAAUAAAGAAUAUAAUUCAAAAAAUCACAACAAGGAUCGAACACUAACACAUCGUAAAUGUCCCCAACGACUAGAUUAUACGCCCGGGCUGUGUUCAUUGAAUUAUUUAGUACUUACGUUGCUCUUGAUGCGGGAGGCAGGCCACUUAGGCUCUGUUGGUUUAUAAAAAAAAGUAUUUUUUAAGGAAAAACCAUUUCUUGAAAUUUUUUUUUCCUAGAAUGUGUUUUUUAGUUGUUUGGCUGUAACCUAAAAAUAUUGCUAAAAAAUCAUUUCUAAUAUUUGGUUGGUACUUAAAAAAUUAUAAUUUUUUAUUAUUAAAUCUAUGACAAAAAUAAAAAAAGCAUAAUAAACACACAAGAAAAUAAUAAAUAGGGAGAGAGAGAGAGAGAGAGAUGGCAAACGACGGUUGGCGAGAGGCGGAGUGAGACGGAGACGGUGAUGCAGGCAUGGAUGGUGCUGACGAUGUAAGCGAAGGCUAAAAGAGGCAGAGCUUGAUGGAGACUAAUGUGUAUGACGACGCAGAGUCCAAGAACAGAGAGAGGUGAAGAGUGAUGGAAACGGAUAGAGGCGAAGCAUGACGGAGUGGGCGACACGUACGGUGAAGCAUUAUCCUACCAAAAAUUCAUGUUCAUAAUUUGGCAUAAUAAUAAUAAUAAUAAUAAUAAUUCCUAGCUUCAAUUUGAUCUCUCUACGUCGGUCUCCGGGCCUUCUGGCUCUCCACCCCAUUGCUUUAUUCUGUUCCCAGCGAUAGAAGCCUGUAAAGUUCCAACAUCAGGCGGGAAAGCGAUCUAUUAGUUGGCUCUAUUCAAGUGGGAAAUUACUGUUGUAUUUGAUAAAACCGCACAUUGAUGAAACUAUACAUAGAAGAAAGGAAAUGGAUUUAUGUUUGAAGUAGGUACCUCUUUAUUCCAGUUUGUUCGAUGAAUGAUCCAAUAUAGGACGCAAGUUUGUACCACUGUUCCAGACAUCAUGCCAUACCAAAUGCCCUGAAAAAAUCAGAAUGGUAGUUAGAAGUUGUUAGGUUGUGCUUGGUAAUCCACAAUUAACGUAAAAUUUGUUGGGAUAGGACAUAUAUGGUGUUUGAUAAAGAGCAAUUAAGUAAUGAUAUAAUAUGCUUGAUUACCUUGACACCCAAGUUGAGAUAGUAACCCAAGAAGAGGCCCAAAGGAAUGCCAAAUAAGUAGUAGCAUGCUACGUUGACAUAGGCAACAACAGCCUGCCAUCCAGCUCCGAUGGCCACCCCUGCGCGCAAAACAACCAACCAAUUUGGAAAGAACUAGCAGUGAGCUCUGAUUAAAAGUUGAAAUAAUAGUUAAGAAAACGAGGAGGAGGAGGGACCUGAGAGAACAGGUUGGACAUUGUUAAUGACAAUACAAGCUGCUAGUAUUAGAGUGAGCUCGUCCACCAGAUCCUUUACCUCCCGACUCUCUGCAAACAGGGACGGGUAUUGUUUUCUGAAGAUGAUGAGGAGGAGGGAGAGUAGAAUACCAAUCGCCAUUGAAGAUAACACGACCACCACCACCGAGAACUUGGCCGUUCUCGGGUGGG